CCUACGGGAGGCAGCAGUAAGGAAUAUUGGUCAAUGGACGAAAGUCUGAACCAGCCAUGCCGCGUGAAGGAUGAAGGCCCUCUGGGUUGUAAACUUCUUUUAUAGGGGACGAAAAAAGGGCAUUCUUGCUCACUUGACGGUACCCUAGGAAUAAGCACCGGCUAACUCCGUGCCAGCAGCCGCGGUAAUACGGAGGGUGCAAGCGUUAUCCGGAUUUACUGGGUUUAAAGGGUGCGUAGGUGGGUUGGUAAGUCAGCGGUGAAAUCUUCGAGCUUAACUCGGAAACUGCCAUUGAUACUAUCAAUCUUGAAUCAUCUAGAGGUAAGCGGAAUAUGUCAUGUAGCGGUGAAAUGCUUAGAUAUGACAUAGAACACCAAUUGCGAAGGCAGCUUACUAUGGAUGUAUUGACACUGAGGCACGAAAGCGUGGGGAUCAAACAGGAUUAGAUACCCUGGUAGUCCACGCCCUAAACUACUGGAUACUCGACAUUUGCGAUAUACUGUAAGUGUCUGAGCGAAAGCAUUAAGUAUCCCACCUGGAAGUACGAUCGCAAGAUUGAAACUUAAAGGAAAUUGACGG
rnacentral:rRNA from 1 species